GACGAACGCUGGCGACGUGCCUAAUACAUGCAAGUCGAGCGGACGAAUCGAAAGCUUGCUUUUGAUUCGUUAGCGGCGGACGGGUGAGUAACACGUGGGCAACCUGCCCUGUAGACGGGGAUAACACCGAGAAAUCGGUGCUAAUACCGGAUAACACGAAAUGUCGCAUGACGUUUCGUUGAAAGACGGCGCAAGCUGCCGCUACAGGAUGGGCCCGCGGCGCAUUAGCUAGUUGGUGAGGUAACGGCUCACCAAGGCGACGAUACGUAGCCGACCUGAGAGGGUGAUCGGCCACACUGGGACUGAGACACGGCCCAGACUCCUACGGGAGGCAGCAGUAGGGAAUCUUCCGCAAUGGACGAAAGUCUGACGGAGCAACGCCGCGUGAGCGAAGAAGGCCUUCGGGUCGUAAAGCUCUGUUGUUAGGGAAGAACAAGUAACGCAGUAACUGGCGUUACCGUGACGGUACCUAACGAGAAAGCCACGGCUAACUACGUG
rnacentral:rRNA from 1 species